CGUUAAGAUAGUCAAUUAUAAUAAAUUAUUUUAUAUUUGUAAUAAAAUUUUACUUUUAGUUAUUUUGGAUAACAUUUAUAGAACAUGCUGUUUUGGUAAAUUGCAUAUCAUAUUGAAAUAACUCAGUCCAGAAAAAGUACAUAUUAAAUCUAUAAUUAUAGGAAAUGUUUAAUCAAUCAAAUUCAAUUUAUAUCUGUAAUAAAAUCCUCUUAUCUUUGAACAGAUAGGCAUAAAUCCAAUUAUAUGCUGUAUAAGAAAACAUUCAACUGGGGAAUAAGAGUAGUGUUGACGUCUAAUUUCUGGGGGUGGUGCUUCUUGAGGCCUUCUCUCUUGGAUUUGAUAAGCACUAUUUCUCCACCCGUAAGGCAAAGAAGUAAAACCUAUAGUUUUUCCCUGGGUCAAUAAUUGACCACUUGGAUACAUUUUGGCUCUCCCUAGUCCCGGGGAUCUGCUUAAAUGCACUUGGGGUUGGGACAGAGACUGGGGCAAUGACUGGGACUGGCUGAGCAAUUUGUUCCCCUUUUGUCAGCCUCCAGGGAGAUCACGGCCUCUUAAAUAUUUUCGGUAUGCUUUAGAAUGUUAGGGAAUUGGUGCCCCUUUAUUCUCAGUCUAUGGUUUUCAAAGUUUUAAACUUAAGAUUAUUAAUAAGGAAAUUGCUACUCAGGAUACACACAGGGAAUGAAGCAUAGAUUUAAAAAAUUGUACAGUGAAGUUGCUGUAAAAGCCGCAAAAUACAUCCUCGGAUCCAUGGGAUUGCAGACCCCAACUUGAGGUUCUAUAAGCAGUAUGCUUUCCAGCUUUUAGACAGGCAGCAUCCAAAUCCAAGCCAGCCUGUGAACUGGAGAGGACAUCAAUACCACAGAAGAAGUCUAUACUACUCUUCAGAAAACAAAUUUCACUCACAUCCAUUUAAAAAAUCAAAAUAGAUAUGCCCAUUUCUAAAUUAGCUGUAAUUUUAUUUAGAAAUUGCAGGAAAAAUCAUGAAAUAUAAUUACGAUUAUUAUGAUCAACAUUGUAGGUUAAAAUUAAGAACAACUUUUAGUACUUUAGUAUCAGCCAAUUCCUUAAAACUUUAGUACAGAAUAAAUGUACCAAAACUAGAAGGGAAGAAAAAGCAUAUAAAGAAAAUAUAAUAAUUGUCCCAAUGAAAUUAUGUUUUUAUAGGGAAUUUGACAAUCUGGAUGAAAAGACUAUUGUCCCAGAUCCACGUAUUUUCUAAAAAUAAUUACCUAACAACAUUGAUGCUUUUUUUGGCUUGUUUUUAGUCACCACUCUCUAAUUUAUCACUGACCUAAUCAAGUUAACAUCACUGGGAACUGGAAAUAGCCUCCAGGUGCAUGAAAACAACAAGAUUAGCCUUGAGCUAACUACAGCCAAUCCUCGUCUUUUUGCUGAGGAAGACUGGCCCUGAGCUAACAUCCAUGCCCAUCUUCCUCUACUUUAUACGUGAGAUGCCUACCACAGCAUGGCUUCUGCCAAGCGGUGCCAUGUCCACAGCUGGGAUCCGAACUGGCGAACCCCGGGCAGCCAAGAAGCAGAACGUGCGAACUUAAUCACUGCGCCACCGGGCAUUUCACAACAGCAGUGGGUACAUGGCAACAAUAACAGGUCAGACUGAGGCAGAGGACACAGUUGGAAGACUUCAAGACCAUAAGAGAUGAUGGGGGCAUUGCCCGGAUCCCUGAACUAUUGCAUGGAGUGAGUUCCCACGCUGAUCUUCACUGUA
ensembl:lncRNA